rnacentral:tRNA from 1 species
CGCGGAGUGGAGCAGUGGUAGCUCGUUGGGCUCAUAACCCAAAGGUCGUUCGUUCGAGUCGGACCUCCGCAA